GAUACUAGGCUCGAAAAGUCCCGCGCGGGCAUGCUUGCAUGCACGAAGCGGACCUUGAGAGCCGAACAAACAUGAGCCGAACCGAUUUCCGAAGGAAAGCGAAAGGGCGGCGAAUGUUUGUAGGAUCGUGGGAGUUCGAAGAACGGAACGAUCCGUAGUAU
rnacentral:sRNA from 1 species